ensembl:ncRNA T08G2.5 ncRNA
CUCCACGCGCAUACUAACUUCCGCACACACAAGUGAGAAUUCCAAUGUCUUUUCAACUUGCCGCCCGGCCAUGACCACUCGAAAGA